UAUUGUUAGUUGCCAUCAUUCAGUUGGGCACUCUAGCGAGACUGCCGGUAAUAAACCGGAGGAAGGUGGGGAUGACGUCAAAUCAUCAUGCCCCUUAUGACCUGGGCUACACACGUGCUACAAUGGUUGGUACAACGAGUUGCGAGUCGGUGACGGCGAGCUAAUCUCUUAAAGCCGAUCUCAGUUCGGAUUGUAGGCUGCAACUCGCCUGCAUGAAGCCGGAAUCGCUAGUAAUCGCGGAUCAGCAUGCCGCGGUGAAUACGUUCCCGGGCCUU
rnacentral:rRNA from 1 species